CCUACGGGAGGCAGCAGUGGGGAAUAUUGGGCAAUGGGCGCAAGCCUGACCCAGCAACGCCGCGUGAAGGAAGAAGGCUUUCGGGUUGUAAACUUCUUUUCUCAGGGACGAAGCAAGCGACGGUACCUGAGGAAUAAGCCACGGCUAACUACGUGGCAGCAGCCGCGGUAAUACGGCGGUGGCAAGCGUUAUGCGGAUUUACUGGGUGUAAAGGGCGUGUAGGCGGUAAAGCAAGUCAGAUGUGAAAACCAUGGGCUCAACCUGUGGCCUGCAUUUGAAACUGUUUUUCUUGAGUACUGGAGAGGCAGGCGGAAUGCCUGGUGUAGCGGUGAAAUGCGUAGAUAUUAGGAGGAACACCAGUGGCGAAGGCGGUCUGCUGGACAGCAACUGACGCUGAGGCGCGAAAGCGUGGGGAGCAAACAGGAUUAGAUACCCUUGUAGUC
rnacentral:rRNA from 1 species